rnacentral:rRNA from 1 species
CAGACGAUUCUUAAUGGCGAACGGGUGAGUAACCCCUUGGUGACCUGCCCCCAAGAGAGGGAUAACUCCCGGAAACUGGAGCUAAUACCCCAUAGGGUCAUGAGAGUUAGAGGUCUUGUGACUAAAGGCUUCCGUCCCUUCCGGAGGGGCCUGCCUCCCAUCAGCUAGUUGGUAGGGUAACGGCCUACCAAGGCAACGACGGGUAGGGGACCUGAGAGGGUGACCCCCCACAAUGGAACUGAAACACGGUCCAUACACCUACGGGUGGCAGCAGUAGGGAAUAUUGCCCAAUGGGCCAAAGCCUGAGGCAGCAACCCCCCCUGUGCCAUGAAGGCCUUCCGGUUGUAAAGCACUUUUCUGAGGGAAGAGGAAGGACGGUACCUCAGGAAUAAGGCUCGGCUAACUACGUGCCAGCAGCCGCGGUAAAACGUAGGAGUCAAGCGUUAUCCGAAUUUACUGGGCGUAAAGCGCGUGUAGGCGGUGUGGUAAGUUGGACGUGAAAGCUCCCGGCUCAACUGGGAGAAGCCGUUCAAUACUGCCCCACUAGAGGACGGUAAAGGGAGGUGGAAUUCCCGGUGUAGUGGUGAAAUGCGUAGAUAUCGGGAGGAACACCAGUGGCGAAGGCGGCCUCCUGGGCCGGUCCUGACGCUAAGACGCGAAAGCUAGGGUAGCAAACGGGAUUAGAAACCCCGGUAGUCCUAGCCGUAAACGAUGUAGACUAGGUGUUGGUGGUGUAAGAGCCAUCGGUGCCGCAGCUAACGCGAUAAGUCUACCGCCUGGGGAGUACGGUCGCAAGGCUAAAACUCAAAGGAAUUGACGGGGACCCGCACAAGCAGCGGAGCGUGUGGUUUAAUUCGAUGCUACGCGAAGAACCUUACCCGGGCUUGACAUGCAGGUGGUAGGAAGCCGAAAGGUAACCGACCCUUCGGGGAGCUUGCACAGGUGCUGCAUGGCUGUCGUCAGCUCGUGCCGUGAGGUGUCCGGUUAAGUCCGGUAACGAGCGCAACCCUCGCUGUAUGUUAUACGUAUCAUACGGGACUGCCGGUAUAAAGCCGGAGGAAGGUGGGGAUGACGUCAAGUCAGCAUGGCCUUUAUGUCCGGGGCUACACACACGCUACAAUGGUCAGUACAAUGGGCUGCAAGACCGCAAAGGUGGAGCCAAUCCCAAAAGCUGGCCUCAGUUCAGAUUGCAGGCUGCAACUCGCCUGCAUGAAGCCGGAGUUGCUAGUAAC